rnacentral:rRNA from 1 species
GUAAGCGGUGAAAUGUGUUAGAUGAUUAGGAAGGAACAUCCCGCUCGGCGAAGAGCGACUCUACUAGUCCCGUAUCUGACACUGAGGUGACGAAAGCAUAGGGGACGCGAACUGCGAUUAGAUACCCCAGUAGUCCUACCCGUAAACGAUGUAUACUAGGCGCUGCGAGUAUCGACCCUUGCAGUGCCGGAGACCACGCGAUAAGUAUCCCGCCUGGGGAGUACUCUCGCAAGUGUGAAACUCAAAAGGAAUUGACGGGGGCCCGCACAAGCGCUGGAGUAUGUGUUUUAUUUUGAUGCAACGCGAAGAACCUUACCAAGGCUUGACAUGUCGCGAACCUCUCUGAAAGGUAGUGGUUCCUUCGGGAGAGCCAACACACAUGGUGCACAGGGGUGUUCAGCUCUUGUUUUGAGAUGUUUUGGUAAAAAUCUCACAAAGAGCAACCCUCCUUUUUUUUUGCCCCCCUUUUCUUGGGCACUCUUUAGAGAAUGCCGGUGUCUAACCGCAGGGAGAGGGGGGGGAGGUCUCAAGAGCUUGCCCCCCACAUAUUGGGGUGCACACAUACUUCACAGAUGCGGUCAGAGGGCAGCGAGCCGGCAAGGGCACGCAAUUCCUUCCAAAAGGAGUUUCAUUUAGGUUGAAGCUCUCAACUACUAGUGCAGAAGGAGGAAUAGCUAGUAGUAGCAGGUCAGCCUAAUGCCGGGAAAUAGUUUCCCGGCCUUGUACAACACCCCCGUCCCCCCCUGGA